CAUAAUAUGAGCGUUUUAUGCAACAAAAUCUUAAGAGCUUUCGUUUUGUGUUAAAGAAUUAGAGGCUAAAUCGCAUGAUGAAUUUAUCAGUCGUGAGAUAAUCUCAUAGUCGAUCCUGGAGCACGUACCUGGAGUAGGCAGUUUUUUCAUCAAAAUAUGAGAGAUGACGCGCAAGUAUGGGAAUGUGUCCAGGUAACGAAAUCGGGACACUCGGAUCGAACGUUGUUGGAACAACUGUGGAAAUUUUACAUACAUAAUGGGACAAGACCUAAAAUAAAAAUCCAAACAGCACCUCUUUAUAGUAAAAAUACAAGGUGCGUGUAACA